GGGUUGUGAGGUUAAGCGACUAAGCGUACACGGUGGAUGCCCUGGCAGUCAGAGGCGAUGAAGGACGUGCUAAUCUGCGAUAAGCGUCGGUAAGGUGAUAUGAACCGUUAUAACCGGCGAUUUCCGAAUGGGGAAACCCAGUGUGUUUCGACACACUAUCAUUAACUGAAUCCAUAGGUUAAUGAGGCGAACCGGGGGAACUGAAACAUCUAAGUACCCCGAGGAAAAGAAAUCAACCGAGAUUCCCCCAGUAGCGGCGAGCGAACGGGGAGCAGCCCAGAGUCUGAAUCAGUGUGUGUGUUAGUGGAAGCGUCUGGAAAGGCGCGCGAUACAGGGUGACAGCCCCGUACACAAAAAUGCACAUAUUGUGAGCUCGAUGAGUAGGGCGGGACACGUGGUAUCCUGUCUGAAUAUGGGGGGACCAUCCUCCAAGGCUAAAUACUCCUGACUGACCGAUAGUGAACCAGUACCGUGAGGGAAAGGCGAAAAGAACCCCGGCGAGGGGAGUGAAAAAGAACCUGAAACCGUGUACGUACAAGCAGUGGGAGCACAGAGCAAUCUGUGUGACUGCGUACCUUUUGUAUAAUGGGUCAGCGACUUAUAUUCUGUAGCAAGGUUAACCGAAUAGGGGAGCCGAAGGGAAACCGAGUCUUAACUGGGCGUUAAGUUGCAGGGUAUAGACCCGAAACCCGGUGAUCUAGCCAUGGGCAGGUUGAAGGUUGGGUAACACUAACUGGAGGACCGAACCGACUAAUGUUGAAAAAUUAGCGGAUGACUUGUGGCUGGGGGUGAAAGGCCAAUCAAACCGGGAGAUAGCUGGUUCUCCCCGAAAGCUAUUUAGGUAGCGCCUCGUGAAUUCAUCUCCGGGGGUAGAGCACUGUUUCGGCAAGGGGGUCAUCCCGACUUACCAACCCGAUGCAAACUGCGAAUACCGGAGAAUGUUAUCACGGGAGACACACGGCGGGUGCUAACGUCCGUCGUGAAGAGGGAAACAACCCAGACCGCCAGCUAAGGUCCCAAAGUCAUGGUUAAGUGGGAAACGAUGUGGGAAGGCCCAGACAGCCAGGAUGUUGGCUUAGAAGCAGCCAUCAUUUAAAGAAAGCGUAAUAGCUCACUGGUCGAGUCGGCCUGCGCGGAAGAUGUAACGGGGCUAAACCAUGCACCGAAGCUGCGGCAGCGACACUAUGUGUUGUUGGGUAGGGGAGCGUUCUGUAAGCCUGUGAAGGUGUACUGUGAGGUAUGCUGGAGGUAUCAGAAGUGCGAAUGCUGACAUAAGUAACGAUAAAGCGGGUGAAAAGCCCGCUCGCCGGAAGACCAAGGGUUCCUGUCCAACGUUAAUCGGGGCAGGGUGAGUCGACCCCUAAGGCGAGGCCGAAAGGCGUAGUCGAUGGGAAACAGGUUAAUAUUCCUGUACUUGGUGUUACUGCGAAGGGGGGACGGAGAAGGCUAUGUUGGCCGGGCGACGGUUGUCCCGGUUUAAGCGUGUAGGCUGGUUUUCCAGGCAAAUCCGGAAAAUCAAGGCUGAGGCGUGAUGACGAGGCACUACGGUGCUGAAGCAACAAAUGCCCUGCUUCCAGGAAAAGCCUCUAAGCAUCAGGUAACAUCAAAUCGUACCCCAAACCGACACAGGUGGUCAGGUAGAGAAUACCAAGGCGCUUGAGAGAACUCGGGUGAAGGAACUAGGCAAAAUGGUGCCGUAACUUCGGGAGAAGGCACGCUGAUAUGUAGGUGAAGUCCCUCGCGGAUGGAGCUGAAAUCAGUCGAAGAUACCAGCUGGCUGCAACUGUUUAUUAAAAACACAGCACUGUGCAAACACGAAAGUGGACGUAUACGGUGUGACGCCUGCCCGGUGCCGGAAGGUUAAUUGAUGGGGUCAGCGCAAGCGAAGCUCUUGAUCGAAGCCCCGGUAAACGGCGGCCGUAACUAUAACGGUCCUAAGGUAGCGAAAUUCCUUGUCGGGUAAGUUCCGACCUGCACGAAUGGCGUAAUGAUGGCCAGGCUGUCUCCACCCGAGACUCAGUGAAAUUGAACUCGCUGUGAAGAUGCAGUGUACCCGCGGCAAGACGGAAAGACCCCGUGAACCUUUACUAUAGCUUGACACUGAACAUUGAGCCUUGAUGUGUAGGAUAGGUGGGAGGCUUUGAAGUGUGGACGCCAGUCUGCAUGGAGCCGACCUUGAAAUACCACCCUUUAAUGUUUGAUGUUCUAACGUGGACCCGUGAUCCGGGUUGCGGACAGUGUCUGGUGGGUAGUUUGACUGGGGCGGUCUCCUCCUAAAGAGUAACGGAGGAGCACGAAGGUUGGCUAAUCCUGGUCGGACAUCAGGAGGUUAGUGCAAUGGCAUAAGCCAGCUUGACUGCGAGCGUGACGGCGCGAGCAGGUGCGAAAGCAGGUCAUAGUGAUCCGGUGGUUCUGAAUGGAAGGGCCAUCGCUCAACGGAUAAAAGGUACUCCGGGGAUAACAGGCUGAUACCGCCCAAGAGUUCAUAUCGACGGCGGUGUUUGGCACCUCGAUGUCGGCUCAUCACAUCCUGGGGCUGAAGUAGGUCCCAAGGGUAUGGCUGUUCGCCAUUUAAAGUGGUACGCGAGCUGGGUUUAGAACGUCGUGAGACAGUUCGGUCCCUAUCUGCCGUGGGCGCUGGAGAACUGAGGGGGGCUGCUCCUAGUACGAGAGGACCGGAGUGGACGCAUCACUGGUGUUCGGGUUGUCAUGCCAAUGGCACUGCCCGGUAGCUAAAUGCGGAAGAGAUAAGUGCUGAAAGCAUCUAAGCACGAAACUUGCCCCGAGAUGAGUUCUCCCUGACUCCUUGAGAGUCCUGAAGGAACGUUGAAGACGACGACGUUGAUAGGCCGGGUGUGUAAGCGCAGCGAUGCGUUGAGCUAACCGGUACUAAUGAACCGUGAGGCUUAACCUUACAACGCCGAAGGUGUUU
rnacentral:rRNA from 1 species